ensembl:lincRNA
CUGUUUAUUAGGCAAGGUGAUUAAAGUGGUGGCGAACAUAGAAGAAGAAUUCUCCAGAUGAUGCAACAGGGUAAAGGACACAUGAGACAUCAAAGAAACAAUUCCUAGAUGAUAUGUCAGACACGAUUGCCUUUGAAAGAGCAAGAUGUACCUGGAAGAACCCAAAGGCCACACUUUUGAAAAAGAAAAACAAGAAUAAGCCCUGUUGCUCUUCAAGGAGAAAGGAAGGAGCUGAAGGCUGCUGGGGCCUUUCUCACGUGGCCUGUGUUCUGUAAAGCAACUUCCCAGCAGCAGCAUGGCACUGUUCUAGGUAAGCGUCUCACCUUUUGUCACCCAUGCUUCAAUGUACUCUAUUCUCUGUUCAAGGGCUGUCAAUUUCUCCCUUAGUGUUGCAAAUCUUGAAUAAGACAUAUUGAACGAGUUGAGAAAGUCUGCAAUUUUCUUGAUGCUGCUGGUGAUUAUCUCAAUGUACUCCCAGUUCGCCCAGUCCUACUGAAUCUCCUGCUGCACCAGAUCCUCUUGUCCUGCCAUGGUGAAAGCCUGAGGAAGACUGAAGUAAAGACUUUGGAUCUGUGAAGGGGACAAGGAGAAAACUCCAGGCAAGAGAAAUGGCAAGAGCAAGGAAAGGAAAAUGAGUGGAGAUCUACUGACUUCUUAUUGGGA